rnacentral:rRNA from 1 species
UACGGAAGGCAGCAGUGGGGAAUAUUGCACAAUGGGCGCAAGCCUGAUGCAGCCAUGCCGCGUGUAUGAAGAAGGCCUUCGGGUUGUAAAGUACUUUCAGUCGUGAGGAAGGUGUUAAGGUUAAUAACCUUAGCAAUUGACGUUAGCGACAGAAGAAGCACCGGCUAACUCCGUGCCAGCAGCCGCGGUAAUACGGAGGGUGCGAGCGUUAAUCGGAAUUACUGGGCGUAAAGGGCACGCAGGCGGUUAAUUAAGUUGGAUGUGAAAUCCCCGGGCUUAACCUGGGAAUGGCAUUCAAGACUGGUUAGCUAGAGUCUUGUAGAGGGGGUAGAAUUCCAUGUGUAGCGGUGAAAUGCGUAGAGAUGUGGAGGAAAUACCGGUGGCGAAGGCGGCCCCUGGACAAAAGGACUGACGCUCAUGUGCGAAAGCGUGGGGAGC